rnacentral:rRNA from 1 species
GGCUUAGAGUUUGAUCAUGGCUCAGGACGGACGCUGGCGGCGUGCUUAAGACAUGCAAGUCGAGCGGAGUGUUUUUGGAACUUGCUUUGAGAACACUUAGCGGCGGACGGGUGAGUAACGCGUGAGCAACCUGCCCUAUACAUCGGGAUAACAGUCGGAAACAACUGCUAAUACCGAAUAUGACCACAACCCCGCAUGGGGAAGAGGUGAAAGGGUUUACUGGUAUAGGAUGGGCUCGCGUCUGAUUAGCUUGUUGGUGGGGUAACGGCCUACCAAGGCAACGAUCAGUAGCCGACCUGAGAGGGUGAUCGGCCACAUUGGAACUGAGAUACGGUCCAGACUCCUACGGGAGGCAGCAGUCGGGAAUAUUGGGCAAUGGAGGAAACUCUGACCCAGCAACGCCGCGUGGAGGACGAAGGUCUUCGGAUUGUAAACUUCUGUCCUAGGGGAAAAACACAAUGAUGGUACCCUAGAAGAAAACCCCGGCAAACUACGUGCCAGCAGCCGCGGUGAUACGUAGGGGGUAAGCGUUGUCCGGAAUGACUGGGCGUAAAGGGAGUGUAGGCGGUUUAUUAAGUUGGAUGUGAAAGCCUGGAGCUUAACUCCAGAACUGCAUUUGAAACUGUAGUUCUUGAGUGAUGGAGAGGCAGGCG